GACGAACGCUGGCGGCGUGCUUAACACAUGCAAGUCGAACGGAAAAGCCCUGCUUUUGUGGGGUGCUCGAGUGGCGAACGGGUGAGUAACACGUGAGUAACCUGCCCUUGACUUUGGGAUAACUUCAGGAAACUGGGGCUAAUACCGGAUAGGAGCUCCUGCUGCAUGGUGGGGGUUGGAAAGUUUCGGCGGUUGGGGAUGGACUCGCGGCUUAUCAGCUUGUUGGUGGGGUAGUGGCUUACCAAGGCUUUGACGGGUAGCCGGCCUGAGAGGGUGACCGGCCACAUUGGGACUGAGAUACGGCCCAGACUCCUACGGGAGGCAGCAGUGGGGAAUAUUGCACAAUGGGCGGAGGCCUGAUGCGGCAACGCCGCGUGCGGGAUGACGGCCUUCGGGUUGUAAACCGCUUUCGCCUGUGACGAAGCGUGAGUGACGGUAAUGGGUAAAGAAGCACCGGCUAACUACGUG
rnacentral:rRNA from 1 species